GACGAACGCUGGCGGCGUGCUUAACACAUGCAAGUCGAGCGGUAAGGCCCUUUCGGGGUACACGAGCGGCGAACGGGUGAGUAACACGUGGGUGACCUGCCCUCAGCUCUGGGAUAAGCCCGGGAAACUGGGUCUAAUACCGGAUAUGACUUCAUGACGCAUGUUGUGGAGUGGAAAGCCUUGUGCGGCUGAGGAUGGGCCCGCGGCCUAUCAGCUUGUUGGUGGGGUGAGGCCUACCAAGGCGACGACGGGUAGCCGGCCUGAGAGGGCGACCGGCCACACUGGGACUGAGAUACGGCCCAGACUCCUACGGGAGGCAGCAGUGGGGAAUCUUGCGCAAUGGGCGAAAGCCUGACGCAGCGACGCCGCGUGAGGGAUGAC
rnacentral:rRNA from 1 species